GACGAACGCUGGCGGCGUGCUUAACACAUGCAAGUCGAACGGAAAGGCACUGCUUUUGUGGGGUGCUCGAGUGGCGAACGGGUGAGUAACACGUGAGUAACCUGCCCUUGACUUUGGGAUAACUUCAGGAAACUGGGGCUAAUACCGGAUAGGAGCUCCUGCUGCAUGGUGGGGGUUGGAAAGUUUCGGCGGUUGGGGAUGGACUCGCGGCUUAUCAGCUUGUUGGUGGGGUAGUGGCUUACCAAGGCUUUGACGGGUAGCCGGCCUGAGAGGGUGACCGGCCACAUUGGGACUGAGAUACGGCCCAGACUCCUACGGGAGGCAGCAGUGGGGAAUAUUGCACAAUGGGCGGAAGCCUGAUGCAGCAACGCCGCGUGCGGGAUGACGGCCUUCGGGUUGUAAACCGCUUUCGCCUGUGACGAAGCGUGAGUGACGGUAAUGGGUAAAGAAGCACCGGCUAACUACGU
rnacentral:rRNA from 1 species